ACCUGACACUGUCUCUGGUCACGGGGUUGUUUUGCUGUGUGCUUUUUUUUUUUUUUGCUUUGCUUUGUUUUGCUUGGUUUCGUUCAGUCAGUAUGUAGGCUUUGCACUUGUUUGGAUUAAAAAAAACCAGAUCAGAAGUAACGCUUUCUCCUCAAGGUCGUCUCUAGACUUGUGGGGACAUUUCAAAAAUACUGCAAACGACAUCCAGCACUGUUCACUAAAGGGUCGUGAAUAAAAACCCGCCCCCCACCAAGUGCGUCAGGGUCCGGCUCAGAUUCGCGCCGUCCGUUUCCACGCGUCCUGAAGCCCGUCCUUUUCCUCCUGGGUAGGUCGUCUUUUCAGAUGACAUUUGGUUAAAGAACAUGAAAAGACCAAGCGUUGGCUCCACCUCCAGGCCCGUCACGUGUGCUCGGGUGAGGGAAGCGGGGGCCCGUGCCAGCAUCGCCCCCGCCCCACCCCCUGCACGCAAGCAGCCUCGGCGACGUUCCAGCCUGGCCUCGUGAGGCGUCCUCUGCUCAGAGGCACAGCCAGCGUCCGUGUGUAUCUCACUCCGUUGUAUAUAGAGACAGGACUGCGGUCAGCCAUCGCCGCUGCCCCCGCCCUCCGCCAAGCCCUCGUCAUGUUUCGCCUGCAUGCCCGCAGCCUGGCCAAGCUGCUGUCUCUACGAGUGCCGGUUGGAAACGCACCGAAGACCGUCAUCGCCUCUGGAGCUGGUUGACAGCCUGAACGUCAGUCCCGAUGUCUCCGGGUCCCCCUCCCGCCGGGGAGCAGGAGGUCCCUGACAUCCUCGUCUGCAGAGAAGACAGGUCCGCGUCACUCUUUGGUGUUCGGAGGUUUGCGUUUCAUCUCCACGAGCUUUGAAUGUCAGUUGCAGUUGGUCCGGCUGGAAGAUCGUCAUGGGAUUGUUUCAGGUGAUACAUCAGCGUUUGGGAAAAGGAUGAAGGUGCCGCCCGCAGGACCACUCCGAGUGCCAGCUGGCCAUGCUUUUUGCCGGCCCUGGCCAUGAGAUCUGGCAGGAGGGAGUGAAGUGUGGCAUGGUAGUGUGUUCAUCCAUGGAAUAAAACAUUAUUUUACCACUCGAGAGCUCUUUUCUUGCUUAUCCUCCACCCCCUUCACCCCAAAAAGCAUGCCGACGUUUAAGAAGUCUUCGCGGUCCUCGCUGGGCCCUGACCAGGUCUGAUGUGUCCUCAGGGGUCUGCGUGCAGCUCCUAAAACCUGCGUCCACAGUAGCAAUAGCCCUGAUGGUAGUAAGGGCGGGACCGGUCAAGUCCAGGGAUCACCCAGGGACGUGAAUCUGAGUUUCAUGUCUGAAGUUUCAAGGGGAAGACGCAGAGCCCCUGCCCAGCACUAGCAGUAAAACUGGCUCUCCGUUGAGGCCCCUGCGUUGCUCACUAGAAGGCGUCAGCAAACCCACAUCUGCUAGAGACUCAUUCACUUUGUCGUUUUUAAGUCAGUAAGUCUGAUGUAGCCCAGCCU
ensembl:lncRNA